rnacentral:rRNA from 1 species
GUGGGGAAUCUUGCGCAAUGGGCGAAAGCCUGACGCAGCCAUGCCGCGUGAAUGAUGAAGGUCUUAGGAUUGUAAAAUUCUUUCACCGGGGACGAUAAUGACGGUACCCGGAGAAGAAGCCCCGGCUAACUUCGUGCCAGCAGCCGCGGUAAUACGAAGGGGGCUAGCGUUGCUCGGAAUUACUGGGCGUAAAGGGCGCGUAGGCGGACAGUUUAGUCAGAGGUGAAAGCCCAGGGCUCAACCUUGGAAUUGCCUUUGAUACUGGCUGUCUUGAGUACGGGAGAGGUGAGUGGAACUCCGGGUGUAGAGGUGAAAUUCGUAGAUAUUCGGAAGAACACCAGUGGCGAAGGCGACUCACUGGCCCGUUACUGACGCUGAGGCGCGAAAGCGUGGGGAGCAAACAGGAUUAGAAACCCGUGUAGUCC